rnacentral:rRNA from 1 species
UGUAUGGUUAAGUGACUAAGCGUACACGGUGGAUGCCUGGGCAGUCAGAGGCGAUGAAGGACGUACUAACUUGCGAUAAGCGCAGAUAAGGCAGUAAGAGCCGUUUGAGUCUGCGAUUUCCGAAUGGGGAAACCCAACUGCAUAAGCAGUUACUGUUAACUGAAUACAUAGGUUAACAGAGCAAACCGGGGGAACUGAAACAUCUAAGUACCCCGAGGAGAAGAAAUCAACCGAGAUUCCGGUAGUAGCGGCGAGCGAACCUGGAUUAGCCCUUAAGCACUCGGUGAAGUAGGUGAACAAGCUGGAAAGCUUGGCGAUACAGGGUGAUAGCCCCGUAACCGACGCUUCAUCGAGCGUGAAAUCGAGUAGGGCGGGACACGUGAUAUCCUGUCUGAAUAUGGGGGGACCAUCCUCCAAGGCUAAAUACUCCUGACUGACCGAUAGUGAACCAGUACCGUGAGGGAAAGGCGAAAAGAACCCCUGUGAGGGGAGUGAAAUAGAACCUGAAACCGUGUACGUACAAGCAGUAGGAGCACCUUCGUGGUGUGACUGCGUACCUUUUGUAUAAUGGGUCAGCGACUUAUAUUCAGUGGCAAGGUUAACCGUAUAGGGGAGCCGUAGCGAAAGCGAGUCUUAACUGGGCGCUCAGUCUCUGGAUAUAGACCCGAAACCGGGUGAUCUAGCCAUGGGCAGGUUGAAGGUUGAGUAACAUCAACUGGAGGACCGAACCGACUAAUGUUGAAAAAUUAGCGGAUGACUUGUGGCUAGGGGUGAAAGGCCAAUCAAACUCGGAGAUAGCUGGUUCUCCCCGAAAGCUAUUUAGGUAGCGCCUCGGACGAAUACUACUGGGGGUAGAGCACUGUUAAGGCUAGGGGGUCAUCCCGACUUACCAACCCUUUGCAAACUCCGAAUACCAGUAAGUACUAUCCGGGAGACACACGGCGGGUGCUAACGUCCGUCGUGGAGAGGGAAACAACCCAGACCGCCAGCUAAGGUCCCAAAGUAUUGCUAAGUGGGAAACGAUGUGGGAAGGCUCAGACAGCUAGGAUGUUGGCUUAGAAGCAGCCAUCAUUUAAAGAAAGCGUAAUAGCUCACUAGUCGAGUCGGCCUGCGCGGAAGAUGUAACGGGGCUAAGCAAUACACCGAAGCUGCGGCAAUGUCUUUUAGACAUUGGGUAGGGGAGCGUUCUGUAAGCCGUUGAAGGUGAAUCGUAAGGUUUGCUGGAGGUAUCAGAAGUGCGAAUGCUGACAUGAGUAACGACAAAGGGGGUGAAAAACCUCCUCGCCGGAAGACCAAGGGUUCCUGUCCAACGUUAAUCGGGGCAGGGUGAGUCGACCCCUAAGGUGAGGCCGAAAGGCGUAAUCGAUGGGAAACGGGUUAAUAUUCCCGUACUUCUGACUAUUGCGAUGGGGGGACGGAGAAGGCUAGGUGGGCCAGGCGACGGUUGUCCUGGUUCAAGUGCGUAGGCUUGAGAGUUAGGUAAAUCCGGCUCUCUCUAAGGCUGAGACACGACGUCGAGCUACUACGGUAGUGAAGUCAUUGAUGCCAUGCUUCCAGGAAAAGCCUCUAAGCUUCAGAUAGUCAGGAAUCGUACCCCAAACCGACACAGGUGGUCGGGUAGAGAAUACCAAGGCGCUUGAGAGAACUCGGGUGAAGGAACUAGGCAAAAUGGUACCGUAACUUCGGGAGAAGGUACGCUCUUGAUGGUGAAGUCCCUCGCGGAUGGAGCUGACGAGAGUCGCAGAUACCAGGUGGCUGCAACUGUUUAUUAAAAACACAGCACUGUGCAAAAUCGCAAGAUGACGUAUACGGUGUGACGCCUGCCCGGUGCCGGAAGGUUAAUUGAUGGGGUUAGCGCAAGCGAAGCUCUUGAUCGAAGCCCCGGUAAACGGCGGCCGUAACUAUAACGGUCCUAAGGUAGCGAAAUUCCUUGUCGGGUAAGUUCCGACCUGCACGAAUGGCGUAAUGAUGGCCACGCUGUCUCCACCCGAGACUCAGUGAAAUUGAAAUCGCUGUGAAGAUGCAGUGUACCCGCGGCUAGACGGAAAGACCCCGUGAACCUUUACUACAGCUUGGCACUGAACAUUGAACCUACAUGUGUAGGAUAGGUGGGAGGCUAUGAAGACGUGACGCCAGUUGCGUUGGAGCCGUCCUUGAAAUACCACCCUUGUAUGUUUGAUGUUCUAACUUAGACCCAUUAUC